rnacentral:rRNA from 1 species
UACAGGGGGGGCAAGCGUUGUUCGGAAUUACUGGGCGUAAAGGGCUCGUAGGCGGCCGACUAAGUCCGACGUGAAAUCCCAAAGCUUAACUUUGGAACUGCGUCGGAUACUGGAUGGCUUGAAGUCGGGAGAGGGAUGCAGAAUUCCAGGUGUAGCGGUGAAAUGCGUAGAUAUCUGGAGGAAUACCGGUGGCGAAGGCGGCAUCCUGGACCGACAUUGACGCUGAGGAGCGAAAGCCAGGGGAGCAAACGGG